UAGGGUAUAGCUCAGUGGUAGAGUGUAUGCUUAGCAUGCAUGAGGUCCUGGGCUCCACCCCCAGUCCCUUCA
rnacentral:tRNA from 1 species